GAAGGAAGGCUGCGCGGCCGCGAGGAAGGCGGACAUGGGGAAGUCGGUCGCCCGGUGUGCGUGGAAAGGGUGAUAAGCCAUUGCAGUCCCUGUGAAAACUGGAUCUCUCAUCGGUGCAUCCACAAAAACCAAGUGAAAUAAUGGAUAUCUGAGUGGUAGUUCCCCCGACCUGGAGCCGGUGUAGGUCCGCGCCGGGCGAGCAGUUACUGUGUGUGAAGCCGCACGGAGGAGCGCGGCGCCUUGUCACAACGCGUAAUCAGAGCGGAGAGCGAACAGCCCGGAGUCGUUGUGCGUUCUGUCCUCUGGUUCCUGCGCCGAGUUCCUCAGUGUGAGCGGCGCGGUGCGCGGAGAGCGCGGCUGGGCGCUGGGUGGCUCUGAAGAGAAAUAAGCUGAGCUGCAGUCAUCCCACACUGACUGGAGAGAUGUGGCCCCGUUCACUGCAGAUCUGUGACUAUCUCACAUGUCCUUCCUGCCUCCAUCCCCAGCACUAAUGAACCAAGCCCCUUUGAUUGCUGAUUUUACGCUUUCUGGACCAAUUGUGGGCCCCUAUAGGCGUGGUUCUGACAGCUCCGGCCAGACUCUGGGAGAGGAGGGGGGGGGGACAAUAAGGUGUCGGAAGCAUUAGCAGUAAGAAAACAUGUCAACAGGAUAAAAUAUUAACCAAUGACAGGAAAGAUCGGGAAAUCCCACCCCCAUUUCCAAGCCAAACACCGGGUCAGCCCUCAGUCUUUGGCCGGUGGAGGCAUCACUUCUCUCGGCUUGCGUUUUUACAAUGUCGCCUCCGGAGAAAGCAAACCUGUCCCCUGUCCUAAAACUCACCUUUAUAGAGAGGAACAGCUCCACUCCUCCACCUCCACCCCUGUCUGUCAGAACAGCCCAGCACAGUCACUCCUCCACCCGCAGCUCAUGCGCUACAGUACGGACAUGCUUCCCAAAGCAGCCGCUCUCUCUCUCUCUGCCUCUCGGGCUCUCCUAUAACAACAGACUCGUUAUGACUCCCUAGUUCUCGGCUGUUUUGACGCUAGCCCGGGCUCUGUUAGCCGAGUGUAGCUCGCCCGGCCCCGGGUUCCUCAGAUAUCUGUGCGCGGGGCUCACCGGUCUCCGGGGGGAGCAGCGGCCGCAGCAGCAGCGGCACAGAGCCGAGGCUGGGACGCACAAAGCCCGGCGCUGCGUGGAGGAAAACCCCAGAUGAAUGAUGAUGAAUGAAUUCUGAGAGAACACUCGGGGAGAAGGAGACGCGAUGUGUUGACAGCAACUGAAGCAGCAGCUGCGGCAGCGGAGGAGCCGGGGCUGAUACCUGCAGGCCGCACACACACACACACACACACACACACACACACACACACACACACACACACACACACACACACACACACACACACACACAAACACACACACGCAC